rnacentral:lncRNA from 1 species
UCGGAUCAUAAGGCACCUAAGUAAUCUAGUCGGGAUAUUCAACCUCUAUCUUUAUGUGAAAACCAAAUCCUGAACCUUAUGGUACGAACAAGGAUACUCAUACUUCUUUUACGGAUAAGGCUAACAAAAAUGCAGUUAACAAAUAUGAACUCCUGAGGCCUUCCUAUUGUCAUUAAGUACACGUGUGGAGAUCUAAUAAUAGGUCUCUGAUCAGUCAUAGUAUGCAUGUGUUCC